rfam:Corynebacterium variabile DSM 44702, complete genome.
CUCCCUGACACGGGGUGCCGUCCGAUCCGGGCGGCUGAGAUCGCACCCGUUGAACCUGAACCAGUUCGUACUGGCGGAGGGAUUGUCAGGGUUUACGCGC